rnacentral:rRNA from 1 species
ACGAACGCUGGUGGCGUGCUUAACACAUGCAAGUCGCACGGGAUUUAGUAAACAGAAGCCUCGGUGGAAGAUUACUAAUGAGAGUGGCGAACGGGUGAGUAACGCGUGAGCAACCUGCCUAUGACAGUGGGAUAGCCUCGGGAAACCGGGAUUAAUACCGCAUAAAAUCGUAGAAACACAUGUUUUAACGGUCAAAGAUUUAUCGGUCAUAGAUGGGCUCGCGUCUGAUUAGCUAGUUGGUGAGAUAACAGCCCACCAAGGCGACGAUCAGUAGCCGGUCUGAGAGGAUGAACGGCCACAUUGGAACUGAGACACGGUCCAAACUCCUACGGGAGGCAGCAGUGGGGAAUAUUGCACAAUGGGGGAAACCCUGAUGCAGCGACGCCGCGUGAACGAAGAAGGUAUUCGUAUCGUAAAGUUCUGUCCUAUGGGAAGAUAAUGACAGUACCAUAGAAGAAAGCUCCGGCUAAAUACGUG